CCUGAAACUGCAACCUCCGGGGCACUCCAGCCAUGACUCUACAUACAGAACACUUCAUACGUCCAUCAGCCAGGUUGCUUACCUGCCACGUCCCUCUUCCUCAGUGAACUGGCUUCUUCCUGUGUGAUGGCAGCCAGAUGCUCCAUAUGAAUCCUGAAGGGGAGGUCAACAACAACAAUGUGAAGUAAUGCUCUGCUGACUUUACAGUACAGUAACCACGGGGCCAGACAGCUGGAAAUCAUGCCUGAUGUCGCGUCUUCCUCUGAGCCAU